rnacentral:rRNA from 1 species
UACGUAGGGGGCAAGCGUUAUCCGGAUUUACUGGGCGUAAAGCGCGUGUAGGCGGUUGCGCAAGUUGGUUGUGAAAUCUCCGGGCUUAACUCGGAAAGGUCAACUGAUACUGUGCGACUAGAGUGCAGAAGGGGCAACUGGAAUUCUCGGUGUAGCGGUGAAAUGCGUAGAUAUCGAGAGGAACACCUGCGGCGAAGGCGGGUUGCUGGGCUGACACUGACGCUGAUGCGCGAAAGCCAGGGGAGCGAACGGG